rnacentral:rRNA from 1 species
UCGCCUGUUUAUCAAAAACAUGUCCUCUUGUUUAUAGAGUAUGAGGUCUGACCUGCCCACUGAAAUUAUUUGAAGGGCCGCGGUAUUUUGACCGUGCAAAGGUAGCAUAAUCAUUAGUCUUUUAAUUGAAGGCUGGAAUGAAUGGUUGGACGAGGCACUGACUGUCUCAUUGUGGAUGAGGUUAGAAUUUAACGUUUGAGUGAAAAGGCUUAAAUGUAUUUAAAGGACGAGAAGACCCUAUAGAGCUUGAUAUUAUGAUUUGUAUAAAUUGUUUAGUUGUUUAUGUUUUUUAUGAAUGUUUAGUAUUUUAUUGGGGUGAUAGGAAGAUAAGAAAAACUCUUUUUGGACAAAUUUACAUUGAUUUAUGAGUGAAUGAUCCGUUAAUAGCGAUUAUAAGACUAAGUUACCUUAGGGAUAACAGCGUAAUCUUUUUUGAGAGUUCUUAUCGACAAAAAGGGUUGCGACCUCGAUGUUGGAUUAAGGUGAAAUUUGGGUGUAGAUGUUCAAAUUUUUAGGUCUGUUCGACCUUUGAAUCCUUACAUGAUCUGAGUUCAAACCGGAGA